rnacentral:rRNA from 1 species
UAAGUAAGCUUUGAUCCAGAGAUUUCCGAAUGGGGAAACCCAGCAUGAGUUAUGUCAUGUUAUCGAUAUGUGAAUACAUAGCAUAUCAGAAGGCACACCCGGAGAACUGAAACAUCUUAGUACCCGGAGGAAGAGAAAGAAAAUUCGAUUCCCUUAGUAGCGGCGAGCGAAACGGGAAGAGCCCAAACCAACAAGCUUGCUUGUUGGGGUUGUAGGACACUCUAUACGGAGUUACAAAGGACGACAUUAGACGAAUCAUCUGGAAAGAUGAAUCAAAGAAGGUAAUAAUCCUGUAGUCGAAAAUGUUGUCUCUCUUGAGUGGAUCCUGAGUACGACGGAGCACGUGAAAUUCCGUCGGAAUCUGGGAGGACCAUCUCCUAAGGCUAAAUACUCUCUAGUGACCGAUAGUGAACCAGUACCGUGAGGGAAAGGUGAAAAGCACCCCGGAAGGGGAGUGAAAUAGAACCUGAAACCGUGUGCUUACAAGUAGUCAGAGCCCGUUAAUGGGUGAUGGCGUGCCUUUUGUAGAAUGAACCGGCGAGUUACGAUUUGAUGCAAGGUUAAGCAGUAAAUGUGGAGCCGUAGCGAAAGCGAGUCUGAAUAGGGCGUUUAGUAUUUGGUCGUAGACCCGAAACCAGGUGAUCUACCCUUGGUCAGGUUGAAGUUCAGGUAACACUGAAUGGAGGACCGAACCGACUUACGUUGAAAAGUGAGCGGAUGAACUGAGGGUAGCGGAGAAAUUCCAAUCGAACCUGGAGAUAGCUGGUUCUCUCCGAAAUAGCUUUAGGGCUAGCCUCAAGUGAUGAUUAUUGGAGGUAGAGCACUGUUUGGACGAGGGGCCCCUCUCGGGUUACCGAAUUCAGACAAACUCCGAAUGCCAAUUAAUUUAACUUGGGAGUCAGAACAUGGGUGAUAAGGUCCGUGUUCGAAAGGGAAACAGCCCAGACCACCAGCUAAGGUCCCAAAAUAUAUGUUAAGUGGAAAAGGAUGUGGCGUUGCCCAGACAACUAGGAUGUUGGCUUAGAAGCAGCCAUCAUUUAAAGAGUGCGUAAUAGCUCACUAGUCGAGUGACACUGCGCCGAAAAUGUACCGGGGCUAAACAUAUUACCGAAGCUGUGGAUUGUCCUUUGGACAAUGGUAGGAGAGCGUUCUAAGGGCGUUGAAGCAUGAUCGUAAGGACAUGUGGAGCGCUUAGAAGUGAGAAUGCCGGUGUGAGUAGCGAAAGACGGGUGAGAAUCCCGUCCACCGAUUGACUAAGGUUUCCAGAGGAAGGCUCGUCCGCUCUGGGUUAGUCGGGUCCUAAGCUGAGGCCGACAGGCGUAGGCGAUGGAUAACAGGUUGAUAUUCCUGUACCACCUAUAAUCGUUUUAAUCGAUGGGGGGACGCAGUAGGAUAGGCGAAGCGUGCGAUUGGAUUGCACGUCUAAGCAGUAAGGCUGAGUAUUAGGCAAAUCCGGUACUCGUUAAGGCUGAGCUGUGAUGGGGAGAAGACAUUGUGUCUUCGAGUCGUUGAUUUCACACUGCCGAGAAAAGCCUCUAGAUAGAAAAUAGGUGCCCGUACCGCAAACCGACACAGGUAGUCAAGAUGAGAAUUCUAAGGUGAGCGAGCGAACUCUCGUUAAGGAACUCGGCAAAAUGACCCCGUAACUUCGGGAGAAGGGGUGCUCUUUAGGGUUAACGCCCAGAAGAGCCGCAGUGAAUAGGCCCAAGCGACUGUUUAUCAAAAACACAGGUCUCUGCUAAACCGUAAGGUGAUGUAUAGGGGCUGACGCCUGCCCGGUGCUGGAAGGUUAAGAGGAGUGGUUAGCUUCUGCGAAGCUACGAAUCGAAGCCCCAGUAAACGGCGGCCGUAACUAUAACGGUCCUAAGGUAGCGAAAUUCCUUGUCGGGUAAGUUCCGACCCGCACGAAAGGCGUAACGAUUUGGGCACUGUCUCAACGAGAGACUCGGUGAAAUCAUAGUACCUGUGAAGAUGCAGGUUACCCGCGACAGGACGGAAAGACCCCGUGGAGCUUUACUGUAGCCUGAUAUUGAAAUUCGGCACAGCUUGUACAGGAUAGGUAGGAGCCUUUGAAACGUGAGCGCUAGCUUACGUGGAGGCGCUGGUGGGAUACUACCCUAGCUGUGUUGGCUUUCUAACCCGCACCACUUAUCGUGGUGGGAGACAGUGUCAGGCGGGCAGUUUGACUGGGGCGGUCGCCUCCUAAAAGGUAACGGAGGCGCUCAAAGGUUCCCUCAGAAUGGUUGGAAAUCAUUCAUAGAGUGUAAAGGCAUAAGGGAGCUUGACUGCGAGACCUACAAGUCGAGCAGGGUCGAAAGACGGACUUAGUGAUCCGGUGGUUCCGCAUGGAAGGGCCAUCGCUCAACGGAUAAAAGCUACCCCGGGGAUAACAGGCUUAUCUCCCCCAAGAGUUCACAUCGACGGGGAGGUUUGGCACCUCGAUGUCGGCUCAUCGCAUCCUGGGGCUGUAGUCGGUCCCAAGGGUUGGGCUGUUCGCCCAUUAAAGCGGUACGCGAGCUGGGUUCAGAACGUCGUGAGACAGUUCGGUCCCUAUCCGUCGUGGGCGUAGGAAAUUUGAGAGGAGCUGUCCUUAGUACGAGAGGACCGGGAUGGACAUACCUCUGGUGUACCAGUUGUCGUGCCAACGGCAUAGCUGGGUAGCUAUGUGUGGACGGGAUAAGUGCUGAAAGCAUCUAAGCAUGAAGCCCCCCUCAAGAUGAGAUUUCCCAACUUCGGUUAUAAGAUCCCUCAAAGAUGAUGAGGUUAAUAGGUUCGAGGUGGAAGCAUGGUGACAUGUGGAGCUGACGAAUACUAA